rnacentral:rRNA from 1 species
AGUCGACGGCAGCACAGGAGAGCUUGCUCUCUGGGUGGCGAGUGGCGGACGGGUGAGGAAUACAUCGGAAUCUACUCUGUCGUGGGGGAUAACGUAGGGAAACUUACGCUAAUACCGCAUACGACCUACGGGUGAAAGUGGGGGACCGCAAGGCCUCACGCGAUUGAAUGAGCCGAUGUCGGAUUAGCUAGUUGGCGGGGUAAAGGCCCACCAAGGCGACGAUCCGUAGCUGGUCUGAGAGGAUGAUCAGCCACACUGGAACUGAGACACGGUCCAGACUCCUACGGGAGGCAGCAGUGGGGAAUAUUGGACAAUGGGCGCAAGCCUGAUCCAGCCAUACCGCGUGAGUGAAGAAGGCCCUCGGGUUGUAAAGCUCUUUUGUUGGGAAAGAAAUCCUGUUGGCUAAUACCCGGCGGGGAUGACGGUACCCAAAGAAUAAGCACCGGCUAACUUCGUGCCAGCAGCCGCGGUAAUACGAAGGGUGCAAGCGUUACUCGGAAUUACUGGGCGUAAAGCGUGCGUAGGUGGUUGCUUAAGUCUGUCGUGAAAGCCCUGGGCUCAACCUGGGAAUUGCGAUGGAUACUGGGCGACUAGAGUGUGGUAGAGGGUGGCGGAAUUCCCGGUGUAGCAGUGAAAUGCGUAGAGAUCGGGAGGAACAUCCGUGGCGAAGGCGGCCACCUGGGCCAACACUGACACUGAGGCACGAAAGCGUGGGGAGCAAACAGGAUUAGAUACUCUGGUAGUCCACGCCCUAAACGAUGCGAACUGGAUGUUGGGUUCAACUUGGAACCCAGUAUCGAAGCUAACGCGUUAAGUUC